AUGAAUUACUUAAGCUGGAACUGCCGGGGAGGGGGGAAUCCUCGGAUAGUUCGAGAGUUGACGACCUUGUGUCGGUCACAUUCCCCAAUGUUUGUGUUUUUGUGUGAAACGAGACAGAAGGAUGUGAAGAUGAAGAGGUUCAGAGGCCGGCUGGGUCUGAAUGGUUUUUGUGGUGUAGACAGUUCUGGUAUGAGUGGUGGCUUGGCGGUAUAC
rnacentral:rRNA from 1 species